GAAUGAAUGAAUGAAUAAAUAAAUAAAUAAAGCACUCACAGUAGUAUUUUAUUUAUAAAUAAAAAAAGCACAGACUCCCCAGUAAGAUAUUUAAAGGUCUUAAAACCUGUUCCCACCCUGAGGCUUCAGGUGUAUUUCUGUUUCACACUGGCUCCCAAAUUUUUAAUGUUGAGGGGCCAACCAUGACGAUCUCGAUUCACUAGCACGGGACUCCAGAGUAUGGGAUGCUUAGCGAUUAGAGCAUAUGCUCUCCAUGAGCUCUGGUGGGAUGAGGGGGACUGGAAGAGGAGGAAGAGAGAUGACUAAAAGCAGCCACUCCAGGAUGUGAGAACAGGGCCAACGUCGUGUCUGGAGACAACAAGGUUGCUUUUGUUGGUCUGGACAUAUGUUUGGUGGUGCUGGUAGUGGAGUUCAAAUUUUAGAUUUUUCAGUGCUAGAGAAAUGCAUCUCCAGUGUGAAAACCUGAUGCUUACUAAAGAAAGUCAUUCUUUUAAAA
rnacentral:lncRNA from 1 species